GAAAGUGAUGAGAAGUUUUGUCGCCCCAGUCUUACCCGCAUCAAAAAAAUUUGAUGCUUGGUGGUGAUUGACUCUCUUUCUGAUUC